UACAGAGGGGGCCAGCGUUAUUCGGAAUUAUUGGGCGUAAAGAGCGUGUAGGCGGCCAGGUAGGUCCGCUGUGAAAACUCGAGGCUCAACCUCGAGAUGUCGGCGGAAACCAUCUGGCUAGAGUCCGGAAGAGGAGAGUGGAAUUCCCGGUGUAGCGGUGAAAUGCGCAGAUAUCGGGAAGAACACCCGUGGCGAAGGCGGCUCUCUGGGACGGUACUGACGCUGAGACGCGAAAGCGUGGGGAGCGAACAGG
rnacentral:rRNA from 1 species